UCCGGAUUGUUCUCUGCAACUCGAGAGCAUCAAGUUGGAAUCACUAGUAAUCGUGGAUCAGCACGCCACGGUGAAUCAGUACCUGAGCCUUGUACUCUCCGCCCGUCACACUCUGGAAGCUGGAUGAGUCGGAAGUGUGUGCU
rnacentral:rRNA from 1 species